UACGGAGGAUGCAAGCGUUAUCCGGAAUGAUUGGGCGUAAAGCGUCCGCAGGUGGCAGUUCAAGUCUGCUGUCAAAGACCGGGGCUUAACUUCGGAAAGGCAGUGGAAACUGAACAGCUAGAGUAUGGUAGGGGCAGAGGGAAUUCCUGGUGUAGCGGUGAAAUGCGUAGAGAUCAGGAAGAACAUCUAUGGCGAAGGCAGCUCUCUGGGACGGUACUGACGCUGAGACGCGAAAGCGUGGGGAGCGAACAGG
rnacentral:rRNA from 1 species